GGCACGGUCAUCGGAAUGUCGAUAAAUCAAAGCUGCUUCUACGCUGCUGCUUCCUCUUGCUUGGAGGCAGCGUAGCAAGUGGCUGCGGCAUUCAUCACAGAGAAUUAAUCAGAGCAGAUGAAGCGACAACCGAAAAAUAACGACGCGGCAUCUCUUAAAGGCUCCGCGUUAUCGCUUUAAUCGACAUGGCCGGCUCUCAGUUUCAGUCGCAGUCGCAGUCGUCGUCUCAGUCGCAGUCGCAGUGCGUGACCAUAGCCACGAUCCGGCCACAGGUUCUGGCCACAACACACACACACACGAAAUACUCAUUAAGGCUUUUACCAGCUAAUGUAAACAACCUGGCAUGUGUGUGUGUGUGUGUGUGAGAGGUAAAAUGAAAUACAACACACAGAUACUCACACACACACACACGCACACACUCUUCUGUGAAUGGAUUGAAAUUUAUGAAAGGCCAUCGCAGCAUCAAAGCCAAUUAAGAUACUGGCACUGAAUACAUACAAGCUUUAAAGGAAUACACGACUAAUUUCUGCGACAAAGCCGACAAAAGAUCCCCUCCAAAGGGACUGGGGUUGGGGCUGGGGCUGUGCCUGGGUUGGAUACGACUUUUGUCGCAGCGGCACUUUUGUCGCAAACACAGGCCGUAAAAUUAAGAACUCUGAUUGUGUCUCCUCGGCGCAUCAAUGAUAAAAUAUUUAAAUGAGCGGCCAAUGCGAAGGCAAUCGGACAUUCAGGAAACCAAAAACCAACAGAGAGACCAGAGACCAGAGACCAGAGUGACCACAAAACCCUAAUGGCCCCUGGGCACGCACCGGAGCCAUAUAACUAAAAUAAAAUAUGGCUGGAUCCACUGUGCGUUGAAUUUUGUUAAGCGACAAAGCAAAGCAACAUUGGAGAGAACUGAGUCGAUGGCGCAAAGCAAAAUGCAAUUUUUCGGCAAAAAGUGAUGAGAGUGGAGCGUCUUGUAUGUGGAGAGAAUGAUGGAGAGUGAGGGCAGAAUAACAAAGCAUAGGCAGAUUACAAUAAUGGCUGCUUCUCACAUACAUACAUACAUACAUACAUACACACAUGUAGACAUGUGCACAUGUACGUUAUACAUACUCUAGCCAUUUAAUGGCUGCAGGGUAUAACUGUUACUGUUAUAUAUGAAAUUCUUCUUAAUGAACAGAAAUAAGGAGCGUAAUCGAUGUUUGGGGCCUUGCUUGUUAAUUACUUGAUAAUUAUCAGAUACACAUUGUUAUGUAAAAUUAAAGCUCAAACACCUACACGUGUUUGCCUUUUGGCUCUUCAACAUUUAACGACAA